AAAUUUCUUUAUUAUCAUUAUAGCCUGAAAUCUUAACCACAUUUCUUAUGUAAUAUUUCUUUUAAACAUAAAAUUUCAUUGCUGGCAAGCCUUAUUCCAAUUUAAAAUUAUAUAUGUAGUACACUACAAAUAACAAUAACUAUAUUCAAUCAAAUGGGUUUGAAAUAUAACAAAUAAUGAGAGAGAACGUCUCCCUUCAAAUCCAUCAAACUAAAGCUAAUACUCUGUUAUAUUACAUACCUUUUUCCUCAUAUUCAUAAGCGGCAAUAUCUGAUUGAACAUUAAAAAAAAAUAUAUAUAAACAAGAUCGUAGAGUAAGAAGCAACAUCACCAUAGAUUGAACAAAAAUAUAAUAGAUCUGGAAUCCGAAAAUGAAUUGAAAAUAAAUCUGGAAUCCAAAAACUAAAAUGGAUCUGAAGUGCUUACCUUCGCUGCAGUCGUGUGCUCUGCUUCAUGCAUCGAUCUUUGUCGUCGCUAGGAAUAAUUCAAGGAAUCAAAAUAAAAGUAAUUA
rnacentral:lncRNA from 1 species